UACGGGGGGGGCAAGCGUUGUUCGGAAUUACUGGGCGUAAAGGGCGCGUAGGCGGCCAUCUAAGUCAGACGUGAAAUCCCUCGGCUCAACCGAGGAACUGCGUCUGAUACUGGAAGGCUUGAAUCCGGGAGAGGGAUGUGGAAUUCCAGGUGUAGCGGUGAAAUGCGUAGAUAUCAGGAAGAACACCCGUGGCGAAGGCGGCUCUCUGGGACGGUACUGACGCUGAGACGCGAAAGCGUGGGGAGCGAACAGG
rnacentral:rRNA from 1 species